GAUGAACGCUGGCGGCGUGCCUAAUACAUGCAAGUCGAGCGAACGGACGAGAAGCUUGCUUCUCUGAUGUUAGCGGCGGACGGGUGAGUAACACGUGGAUAACCUACCUAUAAGACUGGGAUAACUUCGGGAAACCGGAGCUAAUACCGGAUGAUAUUUUGAACCGCAUGGUUCAAAAGUGAAAGACGGUCUUGCUGUCACUUGUAGAUGGAUCCGCGCUGCAUUAGCUAGUUGGUAAGGUAACGGCUUACCAAGGCAACGAUGCAUAGCCGACCUGAGAGGGUGAUCGGCCACACUGGAACUGAGACACGGUCCAGACUCCUACGGGAGGCAGCAGUAGGGAAUCUUCCGCAAUGGGCGAAAGCCUGACGGAGCAACGCCGAGUGAGUGAUGAAGGUCUUCGGAUCGUAAAACUCUGUUAUUAGGGAAGAACAUAUGUGUAAGUAACUGUGCACAUCUUGACGGUACCUAAUCAGAAAGCCACGGCUAACUACGUG
rnacentral:rRNA from 1 species